rnacentral:rRNA from 1 species
CUUGCACGCUGGCGGCAGGCCUAACACAUGCAAGUCGAACGAGUGGCGGACGGGUGAGUAAUGUCUGGGAAACUGCCCGAUGGCGGGGGAUAACUACUGGAAACGGUAUCUAAUACCGCAUACCAUCGGAUGUGCCCAGAUGGGAUUGGCUAGUAGGUGGGGUAACGGUUCACCGAGGCGACGAUCCCUAGCUGGUCUGAGAGGAUGACCAGCCACACUGGAACUGAGACACGGUCCAGACUCCUACGGGAGGCAGCAGUGGGGAAUAUUGCACAAUGGGCGCAAGCCUGAUGCAGCCAUGCCGCGUGUAUGAAGAAGGCCUUCGGGUUGUAAAGUACUUUCAGCGGGGAGGCGUUACCCGCAGAAGAAGCACCGGCUAACUCCGUGCCAGCAGCCGCGGUAAUAC